GAUGAACGCUGGCGGCGUGCCUAAUACAUGCAAGUCGAGCGAACAGACGAGGAGCUUGCUCCUCUGACGUUAGCGGCGGACGGGUGAGUAACACGUGGAUAACCUACCUAUAAGACUGGGAUAACUUCGGGAAACCGGAGCUAAUACCGGAUAAUAUAUUGAACCGCAUGGUUCAAUAGUGAAAGACGGUUUUGCUGUCACUUAUAGAUGGAUCCGCGCCGCAUUAGCUAGUUGGUAAGGUAACGGCUUACCAAGGCAACGAUGCGUAGCCGACCUGAGAGGGGGAUGGGACACACUGGAACUGAGACACGGACCGGAGGCCUACGGGAGGGAGAAGUAGGGAAUGUUCCGAAAUUGGCGAAAGCAUGACGUGGCAACGCCGAGUGAGAGAUGAAGGUAUUCGGAUCGUAAAACUCUGUUAUUAGGGAAAAACAAAUGUGUAAGUAACUAUGCACGUCUUGACGGUAACUAAUCAGAAAGACACGGCUAACUACGUG
rnacentral:rRNA from 1 species